rnacentral:lncRNA from 1 species
GACUUUAUGGUUGACACUUUCCAUAGAAUCGAUGCAAGCAGUUAGUCAGUCCUUCCAUUUUUAGAAUAAUGCAGACUUCAAAAUUGAAUAUGAAAGUUUCCCCAGAUGAAAGAAAACAUCCUCGCUGUGCGCUUUCCCAUCGAAACAGACCCAUAGUCACUUGCUGAAACUGUGGUGAAGCUCUUUCCUGUUUGAGGUGGGGGUGCAGCAUUUUUUUUUUUAAUGCAAAAAAUCACAUUCACACUUUGGGUUGGUGCUGGAAUCUUAUUUAUUAUAUCUUUUCAGUCUUUGUCUAUUGCAGUUGCAUAAAGCCAGCAAACAUUUUAUCACUUGUAUUUUAUAUUUUACUUCAUACUUAGGAUUGUGGAUUUGAACAAACCCUCAACCCUAAUAAUUAAACUUUGAGUGCAGAACAUUUGACUGCAUUAGUCCUGCACCAUUCGAUUUUGAUUAGACUUGUGCCAGUAAGAAGCCACCUAUUAAUGUCAUCCUGUAAAUGGCAUUUUAAUGCCCAUGCAUUGCGCGCAACCGCAAAGCUGCAAGUCUUACUCACAUUUACUUUACUUUUGUGUGUGCAUUUGUUUUUUUUCAGCAGGACCUCCUCCUCUGCCAGUAAGAGAGAAGGACACAACAACCCCAGAAAUCCAUUCUGGAAGAGCUGUAAUUGAAAGAAUCCCAUUAAGGAUCAGGUACCCAACGUGGUGUUGGAGACUUCACCAAGCUAAUGGACAGUUACCCAGAAUUCUCUGGCUGUGGCAGAACAGUGGCUGCAUUUGUCAUGCUUUCUAAAAGAAAUGGACACAGCAACCCCAUUGGAUUCAACGGAGACAAGUGAAGUCAAUUAGAAGCACACACUUCCUGGGGGUCGAGCGUACUGUGCAGACUCAAACUGAGCUUGAUGACGUAGAUGUGACGUGAGCAACCUGUCUGACAAUUGUAGGUCUUCUAAUAGCUGUGCCAAGAGAAAUCUGAAUCACCCACCAAAUCUUGCAGAGACGGCGAGCGUGAACAGGAGCAAAUUUUGGUAAGUAUUCUGAUUAAUUAUUUUGUCUAUUUUGCAUAAUCACAAUCCCCCGAUUACCUCAUAGACAGUAAAGAUUGCCUUCGAGCUUCUCCUCCUGUCCGGGUUAUGACGCAAUCGUUAGCCUAUUUUUUCAAAAACUGCUUCUACGGGGCCAUAACGUAAGAAACAAGGUAAUGGAGCCUUUCAUACAUUUUCGUGUUUCUUUAGAAAUAAUUAAUGGACAAAUAGAGUCUUUAAAUGCCUCAGAUGUAAAGUUAUUCGCUGUCAAAGUGAUGCCAAAAUGAAUGGGAGUCAAUGGAAUGCAAACAGCAAGUGGGGGUCCGCUAAUCAAUGGUGGUGCCCGAGGAAGCUUCAGUAAAAUAUGAAACCCUCGCCCCCUGGUUUAUUGGCGGUGGGCAAGCCAAGUUUGGUGCAUUACCGCCACCAGCUGAACUGGAGUGUGGAGUGACAAUGAGAAGUCCUUUAUAUUUAUAUAUACAGGUCCUUCUACAAAAAUUAGUAUAUUGUAGAAAAGUUUGUCCAUACGGUAAUUUACUCUACUGUGCGACAGAGAGUCGUGGGUUAUGACGCAAUCGUUAGCCUAUUUUUCAAAAACUGCUUCUACGGGGCCAUAACGUAAGAAACAAGGUAAUGGAGCCUUUCAUACAUUUCGUGUUCUUAGAAUAAUUAAUGGACAAAUAGAGUCUUUAAAUGCCUCAGAUGUAAAGUUAUUCGCUGUCAAAGUGAUGCCAAAAUGAAUGGGAGUCAAUGGAAUGCAAACAGCAAGUGGGGGUCCGCUAAUCAAUGGUGGUGCCCGAGGAAGCUUCAGUAAAAUAUGAAACCCUGCCCCCCUGGUUUAUUGGCGGUGGGCAAGCCAAGUUUUGGUGCAUUACCGCCACCAGCUGAACUGGAGUGUGGAGUGACAAUGAGAAGCCUUUUAUAUUUAUAUAUACAGGUCCUUCUCAAAAAAUUAGUAUAUUGUGAAAAAGUUCAUUAUUUUCCAUAAUGUAAUGAUAAAAAUUUAACUUUCAUAUAUUUUAGAUUCAUUGCACACCAACUGAAAUAUUUCAGGUCUUUUAUUGUUUUAAUACUGAUGAUUUUGGCAUACAGCUCAUGAAAACCCAAAAUUCCUAUCUCAAAAAAUUAGCAUAUCAUGAAAAGGUUCUCUAAACGAGCUAUUAACCUAAUCAUCUGAAUCAACUAAUUAACUCUAAACACCUGUAAAGAUUCCUGAGGCUUUUAAAAACUCCCAGCCUGGUUCAUUACUCAAAACCGCAAUCAUGGGUAAGACUGCCGACCUGACUGCUGUCCAGAAGGCCAUCAUUGACACCCUCAAGCGAGAGGUAAGACACAGAAAGAAAUUCUAGAUGUAUAGGCUGUUCCCAGAGUGCUGUAUCAGGCACCUCAGUGGAGUCGUGAGGGAAGGAAAAAAAUAUUUCAGGUCUUUAAUUGUUUUAAACUGAUGAUUUUGGCAUGCGGCUCAUGAAACCCAAAUUCCUAUCUCAAAAAUUAGCAUAUCAUGAAAAGGUUCUCUAAAUGAGCUAUUAACCUAAUCAUCUGAAUCAACUAAUUAACUCUAAACACCUGCAAAAGAUUCCUGAGGCUUUUAAAAACUCCCAGCCUGGUUCAUUACUCAAAACCGCAAUCAUGGGUAAGACUGCCGACCUGACACCCUCAAGCGAGAGGGUAAGACACUAGAAAGAAAUUUCUGAACGAAUAGGCUGUUUCCAGAGUGCUGUAUCAAGGCACCUCAGUGGGAAGUCUGUGGGAAGGAAAAAGUGUGGCAAAAAACGCUGCACAAUGAGAAGAGGUGACCGGACCCUGAGGAAGAUUGUGGAGAAGGACCGAUUCCAGACCUUGGGGGACCUGCGGAAGCAGUGGACUGAGUCUGGAGUAGAAACAUCCAGAGCCACCGUGCACAGGCGUGCGCUGCGCAACGAGAAGAGGUGACCGGAACCCUGAGGAAGAUUUGUGGAGAAGGACCGAUUCCAGACCUUGGGGGGACCUGCGGAAGCAGUGGACUGAGUCUGGAAGUAAGAAACAUCCAGAGCCACCGUGCACAGGCGUGUAGCUUUUGAACCAGAAACAGCGGCAGAAGCGCCUGACCUGGGCUACAGAGAAGCAGCACUGGACUGUUUGCU